ACUGAACGAUUGUUGGGAAUUGAGCUGCCGACUAAAAGAAGGGACAGUGGGGAGAACCAGGACAGUUAAAAAGGUGAAGAUUUGGAAUCAGCACUUUAUAAAAUAUCAGCAUUGUCAAGCAAGUCCAGAGGAAAAACCUCAGGUUUCCGUGGUAGUGGCAUCCACGUGAUCUUCCA
rnacentral:lncRNA from 1 species